ACGUGACCUUCGACCGAUCGGAAGUGGGGGCGGGACGGCAGCGCCGGGGUGGGCUCAGAUCGCCAGGCAGCCGUGGGUCUCCAGGGUCCGGUCGCGACCCUUCCCUUCCCGGGCGGGAUUUGGUCCAGGACCGUCGAUGGCGUCUUGACAGGUCCCCGAGGCUUGGAUGUGGUCCCGAGGUGUCCGCUGUCGGCCGUUUGGAAUCUCAGAGGGACUGACGUGGCUCUCCCAAGACGGCACCCCGAACAGUCGUGGUUCAUCAAAAGCCUGGUCCUGGGUAGCCCCUCCCUGAAAUGGCUGUUGGUUGGGAAUUUGGGGGCUGAGCGCUUUGAAAGGGCAUUGGGACAGCAUCACAGAAUGUCAGUGUCCCACAUUUGCGAGGAGUCCCGGGCCCCAGUUCUUACACUGCAGUUUGCAUGAGGAUGGGCCACCGCCACUUCCGCCUGGGGUUGUCUGGUGAUGCCCCCAGGAGAGACGCGCCCACUGAAAAGCCAGCGUGGUGUCCUCUUACACGGUCCUUAACAAACUCUGGGACUCUGGGGGUGCAGGAAAUACCACAGGACCGUCAUUACUCCCAUACCGGCUGAGUCACAACUGUAUUGCAGGAGGCUUCUUGGAACGCCUAUGUAACUUUAAUGGAAGUGACCAGGUACAGAUCUUCUACAGCAAGGAAGGAAUCUUAGUGCUAGAAUUCAGUUGAGCCUUUGAGUUGGCUCUUCUUAUAAGUGAGCAAACAAGUAACAAGGUUUAGGGGGCGCCCAUUUUUGUGUUAGCACGAUUGCCCUCGUGUUUAAUAUUUCCCAAGCCCUAUUAUGAUAAGGAGUUGGACUUAAUGAAGAACCAUGUUGUCAAACAUCUUAUGCCCAUCUUGAAGUUGUGAAGGAGGAUGAGCACCAAGAAAAGGAAAUAAAUAAAAUCCAAUACGGGCCGGGUGCGGUAGCUCACGCCUGUAAUCUUAGCAGUUUGGGAGGCCAAGGCAGGCAGAACUCUUGAGCCCAGAAAUUCAAGACCAGCCUAGGCAGCAUAGUGAGACCCCGUCUCUACAAAAAAUAUAAUUAGCUGGGCGUGGUGGCAAACACCUGUAGUCCCAGCUACUUGGGAGGCUGGAGUGGGAGGAUCACCUGAGCCCUGGAGGUCAAGGCUGCAGUGAGCUAUGAUCACGCCACUGCAGUACAGCGUGGGUGACAGAGCAAGACCCUUUCUUGGGGAAAAAAGUCCCAUAUAACUUUCCUUGAUGACCCCACCCUCACCCCUCACUGUGUCAUUAUGCCAAGAGAGCUUUGGGCAUUCUAAAGAAGUAUGAGGAAUACUUGACCAAUAACCAAAGUAUAGUUAUUUAUUUGUUAAUGACUUCUUUCCUAGACUGUGAGUUACUUUAGAGCAGAGACUUAUUUUUCCCUGUAUCCCUAGGGUGUGGCACAUAGUAGGUGCUUAGUAAACUUAUUUUGCAUUCAAUAAUGCCAAGUAGAAUAAUUCAUAGAUUAUGGCAAAAUAAAAGAAUUUGGCAAAAUUGCAAGAUUGAAGAUUGCUUUCAGAAAAAAUGUUCCAACCCCUGUUCAAAAGUACAUAGCUUGCUGUGUUGUUGAAGUGCCAGCACGAGGAGGACCAUGCCAACACAUCCAUUUAUUGCCCAUUCUGGGUGUGUUGAGCGUUUUAAGUUUGCUAUGCUUGUAAAAAUCAAGGAAUGGCAAUGGUAUCAACUUUCAUGAACACAGUCGUUCAGCUGAACCAAGUAUCAGUGAUAACUUCUGUUUUGAAUUUUAGAAAUAUAUCUCUGAGGUUAGAAUGUUGAUUCAUGCAUAUUCCAGCUGGCUUUCCCUAUGAGUAUAAAUAGGGAAAACAAGGCUAUUGGCCCAAAUGUAAGUUGUAUUCCAAGGUUUGGUCCAAAGACCAGAGAAUCCCUAAGUAGGAAGACAGUUUUGUUUUCCCCUCUUUUACUGGUUAACUUUGAGCAGGUCACUUAUAUUUGGGGGCACAGAAGAUGAAGAUGACCCUGAGCUUGUCAUGUUCACUGUUAAUUGUUCUACUAACACCCUAGACUUCAUCAUCUUGUUAUAGCACUUAUCACAGUUGCUUUUAAAUCAUCAUGCAGUUAUAUGUUUAUUGUCUGCCUUUUCCACUAGAAUAAAGCCUCUGCUGACAUAAAAAAAAAAAAAAAA
rnacentral:lncRNA from 1 species